UCUUGUUAUUGUAAAAAAACAAAUUGACGUCAGUUUUUUAUGCGUCUGUUCUCUUCUUGAUGACAAAUGUCGUUAUAACAUUGUCAACGUUUACUGCGGAACCACUCGCCUGCGGCUCGAAGUUCUACAGCCACUUUGACAGUGUUAUAACGCAAUUUAUCAUCAAUAAGAGGACAGACGUCAAUUUGUUAAGUCCAGGGGUGGGGGCAGAAGACUCCUGAAACUUUUGUACUGGACAAGUCGAAUGGCACUCACUCACUCGAUUCUGAUUAAAAGGUUUUUGACGAGGGGAGACUAGAAAGGCGUAAAUUUUUGCCCGAAAAAUCGAGAGCCUGAGUACUAGUUUGUUGAGAGCAUCAAAGAUUGAAGUCGGCCAUUUUGUUUUCAAGUGUUUUCUUUCGUAAAUAUGUUGGUUUUUGAUUAUCAACUUUUGCUCACACAUGGAUGAAAGCUGGUAGAGGUAUUUAUGACUGUGGUGAAGUAUCGGUCACAACAGCACGGCCGGCGAGGUGAAAGAAUUGAUACAAGAAAGCCAGAAGUGGGAUCGUGUUAACUUAGCACAUGGGGGAAAUUUAAAAGCUCGUAGCUUUUUCUCUUGGCAAGAGAAUUCGAUGGCUUCCACUCGCUUUCUGUCCUUGUGGAGUCCUAGUUUGACCAGUAUGCAAGUCAACCUACAUGUACGAUCGAGUAAAUAUACUCCUAAAUAUUCUAGUGAUCAUGGAUGGACAAAUUAAGUCCAAGAGACCGUGUAGAUCUACUUUUUGCGAGAGAGAUAUGCUGUCCAAUUGUGACCAACAUAAACUGGAUGCAUGGUGGCUGGUGAUGUAGAGUUUUUUUUUACUUCUAGAAAUGAGAGAUUUAAACAAAUUUAAAUCAAAACUUGAAAUAGUUAUGGAGAAGAGAAUGUUUGAUACUUGUCAACAUAAGUAUGUUCUGUAAUCAUUGCAAAAAUCUAUUAGAAGAGGCGUAUCUGCAAUCUUUUGAAUAUUACUGCAUUGCAAGUGAGAUUAGCACAAACAGUUACUAAGAUACAUAGUAAUAAAGUACUAUGAUUUGUGUUUCCAA